AAUAAAACCACAAUUAGCAAGUAAGAAGGUAUCAGAUGGUAAU
rnacentral:guide_RNA from 1 species